CCUACGGGGGGCAGCAGUGAGGAAUAUUGGUCAAUGGACGAGAGUCUGAACCAGCCAAGUAGCGUGAAGGAUGACUGCCCUAUGGGUUGUAAACUUCUUUUAUAUGGGAAUAAAACGUUCCACGUGUGGGAUUUUGUAUGUACCAUAUGAAUAAGGAUCGGCUAACUCCGUGCCAGCAGCCGCGGUAAUACGGAGGAUCCGAGCGUUAUCCGGAUUUAUUGGGUUUAAAGGGAGCGUAGGUGGAUUGUUAAGUCAGUUGUGAAAGUUUGCGGCUCAACCGUAAAAUUGCAGUUGAAACUGGCAGUCUUGUGUACAGUAGAGGUGAGCGGAAUUCGUGGUGUAGCGGUGAAAUGCUUAGAUAUCACGAAGAACUCCGAUUGCGAAGGCAGUUCACUGGACUGCAACUGACACUGAGGCUCGAAAGUGUGGGUAUCAAACAGGAUUAGAUACCCGAGUAGUC
rnacentral:rRNA from 1 species